rnacentral:rRNA from 1 species
GUGAACCUGCGGAAGGAUCAUUAUUGAAUAUACUUGAUGGGUUGUAGCUGGCUUUUCGGAGCAAUGUGCACGCCUGUCUUGAUAUCAUUCAUCCACCUGUGCACCUUUUGUAGUCUUCUUGGGGAUUGUGAGUGGCCGACUAUCGAGAAGUCUUCUCGGAUGUGAAGAAUGCUUGCAGAAUGCAGCUCUCUUCAAAUGGUCGCUACGUUUCCUGGAGGUCUAUGUUUUCAUAUACCACAUAGUAUGUUAUAGAAUGUAUUAAAUGGGCCUUUGUGCCUAUAAAUUAUCUAUACAACUUUCAGCAACGGAUCUCUUGGCUCUCGCAUCGAUGAAGAACGCAGCGAAAUGCGAUAAGUAAUGUGAAUUGCAGAAUUCAGUGAAUCAUCGAAUCUUUGAACGCACCUUGCGCUCCUUGGUAUUCCGAGGAGCAUGCCUGUUUGAGUGUCAUUAAAUUCUCAACUCCUCCAGCUUUUGCAAGCUGGCUUAGGAGCUUGGAUAUGGAGGUUUUGCUGGCCUUUACAGAUCAGCUCCUCUGAAAUGCAUUAGCGGAACCGUUUGCGAUCCGUCACAGGUGUGAUAAUUAUCUACGCCGUGUGAUCGCUCUCUGUCUGUUCAGCUGCCAAUCGUCCAGUCUGGACAAUCAUUUGAAUACUUGACCUCAAAUCAGGUAGGACUACCCG